CUACAAGUGUGGAAGGAUCUCUUUUGGAGAUCUAGUCUGCUGGAGUUUUAUAAACAACUUCAGGAUAUGGAUUGGGAACACAUGGAUGGCUUUUCAGUUCAAAAGCAAGCUGUGGGACUACCAAGAGAUUCAAAGAAACAAAGAAAAUUUCCAGGUUUAGGAUGGUUCCCAUAACAUGAGGGAGUGAUUACUUGCAGAAGAGGAGACAACACACUGUUCAUGUUUCUUUGUUUCAUUUGUGCAUAUUCAGGCUUUCUUAGAAGCAGUCAAGAGUGUGAAAAGUAUGGUCACUUUUCCCUUCAGUUGCAUUCUGGAAGGAUUAUGCAAACUACCUGUUUCAGCUAGAAUAUACACUGUAUUAUAUAACAGAAAACCAUUUGCUGUGGAGUCUUUCUAUUCACACUCUUCUCUGCUGUUGCUGACAGAAAUUUGUGAUGAGUUCAGUGAGAGAGCUUAGAGUUCCCACAUCUGGAUGCCUGGAACUGGUCAAGUCAGAUGGUGUCAUAAUUUUUGAGAAGCUGAACACAUGAUCCAUGUAUGAUUAUACUGCCCUCCUUUUAUCAAAAAUGUUACAGAUGGUUGUGAUUAGUCAUAUGUGCCUUUCUUCUCUCUGAAUCCGCCCUUUAACUUCAUGUGAUCUUUCAUCAUAUAGACAAGGACUUUGUUCUUAGGCAGAAUCUGGAAGAUGUUAUGAUUGUUACAACACUUUGCUAUGCUGUCUUUUCUUUGCUGAGGGCAAAAACAUCACCUUUGUCCAGUUAUUUUUCUGGCUAUCCUGACAUUUCUUUUCCCAAUUGCUUUUAUCGUUUCUUAUAAUACAUUAGCUACUGUUGAUCCUUUAAG